rnacentral:rRNA from 1 species
UAGGGAAUCUUCGGCAAUGGACGGAAGUCUGACCGAGCAACGCCGCGUGAGUGAAGAAGGUUUUCGGAUCGUAAAGCUCUGUUGUUAGAGAAGAACGUUGGUAGGAGUGGAAAAUCUACCAAGUGACGGUAACUAACCAGAAAGGGACGGCUAACUACGUGCCAGCAGCCGCGGUAAUACGUAGGUCCCGAGCGUUGUCCGGAUUUAUUGGGCGUAAAGCGAGCGCAGGCGGUUCGUUAAGUCUGAAGUUAAAGGCAGUGGCUUAACCAUUGUACGCUUUGGAAACUGGAGGACUUGAGUGCAGAAGGGGAGAGUGGAAUUCCAUGUGUAGCGGUGAAAUGCGUAGAUAUAUGGAGGAACACCGGUGGCGAAAGCGGCUCUCUGGUCUGUAACUGACGCUGAGGCUCGAAAGCGUGGGGAGCAAACAGG